AGAGUUUGAUCCUGGCUCAGAAUGAAACGCUGGCGGCGUGCUUAACACAUGCAAGUCGCACGAGAACUCUUCUGCUUGCAGAAGAUAGUAAAGUGGCGCACGGGUGAGUAACGCGUGGGUAAUCUACCUCUGAAUUGGGGAUAACAUUGUGAAAGCGAUGCUAAUACCGAAUAAUAUCCCGAGAACCUAGGCUUUUGGGAUCAAAGGUGGCCUCUACAUGUAAGCUACUGUUUAGAGAUGAGCCCGCGUACCAUUAGCUUGUUGGUAGGGUAAUGGCCUACCAAGGCAACGAUGGUUAGCUGGUCUGAGAGGAUGAUCAGCCACACUGGAACUGACACACGGUCCAGACUCCUACGGGAGGCAGCAGUGAGGAAUUUUGCGCAAUGGGGGAAACCCUGACGCAGCAACGCCGCGUGAGUGAUGAAGGCUUUCGAGUCGUAAAGCUCUGUCAAGUGAGAAGAACCUAUCCCGCGUUAAUAUCGCGGGAUACUGACGGUAUCACUGAAGAAGCACCGCUAACU
rnacentral:rRNA from 1 species